UUAAGCGACUAAGCGUACACGGUGGAUGCCCUGGCAGUCAGAGGCGAUGAAGGACGUGCUAAUCUGCGAAAAGCGUCGGUAAGGUGAUAUGAACCGUUAUAGCCGGCGAUGUCCGAAUGGGGAAACCCAGUGCAAUUCGUUGCACUAUCGUUAACUGAAUACAUAGGUUAACGAGGCGAACCGGGGGAACUGAAACAUCUAAGUACCCCGAGGAAAAGAAAUCAACCGAGAUUCCCCCAGUAGCGGCGAGCGAACGGGGAGCAGCCCAGAGUCUGAAUCAGCUUGUGUGUUAGUGGAACGGUCUGGAAAGUCCGACGGUACAGGGUGAUAGUCCCGUACACCAAAAUGCACAGGCUGUGAACUCGAAGAGUAGGGCGGGACACGUGGUAUCCUGUCUGAAUAUGGGGGGACCAUCCUCCAAGGCUAAAUACUCCUGACUGACCGAUAGUGAACCAGUACCGUGAGGGAAAGGCGAAAAGAACCCCGGCGAGGGGAGUGAAAAAGAACCUGAAACCGUGUACGUACAAGCAGUGGGAGCACCUUCGGGUGUGACUGCGUACCUUUUGUAUAAUGGGUCAGCGACUUAUAUUCUGUAGCAAGGUUAACCGUAUAGGGGAGCCGCAGGGAAACCGAGUCUUAACUGGGCGUUAAGUUGCAGGGUAUAGACCCGAAACCCGGUGAUCUAGCCAUGGGCAGGUUGAAGGUUGGGUAACACUAACUGGAGGACCGAACCGACUAAUGUUGAAAAAUUAGCGGAUGACUUGUGGCUGGGGGUGAAAGGCCAAUCAAACCGGGAGAUAGCUGGUUCUCCCCGAAAGCUAUUUAGGUAGCGCCUCGUGAACUCAUCUUCGGGGGUAGAGCACUGUUUCGGCUAGGGGGUCAUCCCGACUUACCAACCCGAUGCAAACUACGAAUACCGAAGAAUGUUAUCACGGGAGACACACGGCGGGUGCUAACGUCCGUCGUGAAGAGGGAAACAACCCAGACCGCCAGCUAAGGUCCCAAAGUCAUGGUUAAGUGGGAAACGAUGUGGGAAGGCACAGACAGCCAGGAUGUUGGCUUAGAAGCAGCCAUCAUUUAAAGAAAGCGUAAUAGCUCACUGGUCGAGUCGGCCUGCGCGGAAGAUGUAACGGGGCUAAACCAUGCACCGAAGCUGCGGCAGCGACACUAUGUGUUGUUGGGUAGGGGAGCGUUCUGUAAGCCUGCGAAGGUGUGCUGUGAGGCAUGCUGGAGGUAUCAGAAGUGCGAAUGCUGACAUAAGUAACGAUAAAGCGGGUGAAAAGCCCGCUCGCCGGAAGACCAAGGGUUCCUGUCCAACGUUAAUCGGGGCAGGGUGAGUCGACCCCUAAGGCGAGGCCGAAAGGCGUAGUCGAUGGGAAACAGGUUAAUAUUCCUGUACUUGGUGUUACUGCGAAGGGGGGACGGAGAAGGCUAUGUUAGCCGGGCGACGGUUGUCCCGGUUUAAGCAUGUAGGCUGAUUGUCCAGGCAAAUCCGGAUAAUCAAGGCUGAGGUGUGAUGACGAGGCACUACGGUGCUGAAGUAACAAAUGCCCUGCUUCCAGGAAAAGCCUCUAAGCAUCAGGUAACAUUAAAUCGUACCCCAAACCGACACAGGUGGUCAGGUAGAGAAUACCAAGGCGCUUGAGAGAACUCGGGUGAAGGAACUAGGCAAAAUGGUGCCGUAACUUCGGGAGAAGGCACGCUGGUGUGUAGGUGAAGNUGGAGCUGAGACCAGUCGAAGAUACCAGCUGGCUGCAACUGUUUAUUAAAAACACAGCACUGUGCAAACACGAAAGUGGACGUAUACGGUGUGACGCCUGCCCGGUGCCGGAAGGUUAAUUGAUGGGGUUAUCCGUAAGGAGAAGCUCUUGAUCGAAGCCCCGGUAAACGGCGGCCGUAACUAUAACGGUCCUAAGGUAGCGAAAUUCCUUGUCGGGUAAGUUCCGACCUGCACGAAUGGCGUAAUGAUGGCCAGGCUGUCUCCACCCGAGACUCAGUGAAAUUGAACUCGCUGUGAAGAUGCAGUGUACCCGCGGCAAGACGGAAAGACCCCGUGAACCUUUACUAUAGCUUGACACUGAACAUUGAGCCUUGAUGUGUAGGAUAGGUGGGAGGCUUUGAAGCGUGGACGCCAGUCUGCGUGGAGCCAACCUUGAAAUACCACCCUUUAAUGUUUGAUGUUCUAACGUUGGCCCCUNACCGGGGUUGCGGACAGUGUCUGGUGGGUAGUUUGACUGGGGCGGUCUCCUCCCAAAGCGUAACGGAGGAGCACGAAGGUUAGCUAAUCCUGGUCGGACAUCAGGAGGUUAGUGCAAUGGCAUAAGCUAGCUUGACUGCGAGCGUGACGGCGCGAGCAGGUGCGAAAGCAGGUCAUAGUGAUCCGGUGGUUCUGAAUGGAAGGGCCAUCGCUCAACGGAUAAAAGGUACUCCGGGGAUAACAGGCUGAUACCGCCCAAGAGUUCAUAUCGACGGCGGUGUUUGGCACCUCGAUGUCGGCUCAUCACAUCCUGGGGCUGAAGUAGGUCCCAAGGGUAUGGCUGUUCGCCAUUUAAAGUGGUACGCGAGCUGGGUUUAGAACGUCGUGAGACAGUUCGGUCCCUAUCUGCCGUGGGCGCUGGAGAAUUGAGGGGGGCUGCUCCUAGUACGAGAGGACCGGAGUGGACGCAUCACUGGUGUUCGGGUUGUCAUGCCAAUGGCACUGCCCGGUAGCUAAAUGCGGAAGAGAUAAGUGCUGAAAGCAUCUAAGCACGAAACUUGCCCCGAGAUGAGUUCUCCCUGAGACUUUAAGUCUCCUGAAGGAACGUUAAAGACGAUGACGUUGAUAGGCCGGGUGUGUAAGCGCAGCGAUGCGUUGAGCUAACCGGUACUAAUGAACCGUGAGGCUUAACCUU
rnacentral:rRNA from 1 species